AACGAACGCUGGCGGCAUGCCUAACACAUGCAAGUCGAACGAAGGCAUCGGCCUUAGUGGCGCACGGGUGCGUAACGCGUGGGAAUCUGCCCGUCCGUUCGGAAUAACAGUUAGAAAUGACUGCUAAUACCGGAUGAUGACUUCGGUCCAAAGAUUUAUCGCCGAGGGAUGGGCCCGCGUAAGAUGAGGUAGUUGGUGGGGUAAAGGCAUACCAAGCCGACGAUCUUUAGCUGGUCUGAGAGGAUGAUCAGCCACACUGGGACUGAGACACGGCCCAGACUCCUACGGGAGGCAGCAGUGGGGAAUAUUGGACAAUGGGCGAAAGCCUGAUCCAGCAAUGCCGCGUGAGUGAUGAAGGCCUUAGGGUUGUAAAGCUCUUUUACCAGGGAUGAUAAUGACAGUACCUGGAGAAUAAGCUCCGGCUAACUCCGUGCCAGCCGCCGCAGUAA
rnacentral:rRNA from 1 species